rnacentral:rRNA from 1 species
GAUGAACGCUAGCGGCAGGCUUAAUACAUGCAAGUCAAGGGGGUAGCAAUACAACCGGCGCACGGGUGAGUAACGCGUACACAACAUACCAUAUACUGGAGUAUAGCUUUGGGAAACUGAAGGUAAUCCUCCAUAACAUUGCGAGAGGGCAUCUGAUUGCAAUUAAAGUUCCGACGGUAUAUGAUUGGUGUGCGUUUGAUUAGCUAGUUGGUAGGGUAACGGCCUACCAAGGCGACGAUCAAUAGCUGGCGUGAGAGCGCGACCAGCCACACUGGAACUGAGACACGGUCCAGACUCCUACGGGAGGCAGCAGUAGGGAAUAUUGGACAAUGGGCGAAAGCCUGAUCCAGCCAUGCCGCGUGAUAGAUGAAGGCCCUCUGGGUUGUAAAUAUCUUUUAUCUGGGAAGAAACUCCUCUAUUCUUAGAGGCCUGACGGUACCAGAGGAAUAAGCACCGGCUAACUCCGUGCCAGCAGCCGCGGUAAAG